rnacentral:lncRNA from 1 species
CUUGCUCGCUGCUGCUGCCACGUAAGAAGUGUGUUGCUUCCCCUUCGUCUUCCACCAUGAAUAACAGAAUGGCAAUUUUCGUGUGGUGUUAAUUUCCGUGGAAGAAGAAAAGGCUCGACUCUCUGUCCUAUUUUUCAUGAAUACUGGAAGUAGGGAAUAAACCUGGAGUCUCACGGGUGAAAAGAGACAUUUCCAUAUCACCAGACCACAAACGUGGGUGUUGAUUCUAAGGAUACCCCCAAUAAACAUCUUUCGUGCUAAAGCCCAUUCCAGAAUUUACUUCCCAGCUAUCUUUGAUGUUCAUAUUGUCAGAGGUGGUGGCCGCUGAAACAGGCAAAGACAUGGAGCAUAUCUUGGGUCCAGGUAAAGGAGGUGGGUGCACACAAGUGAAAAGAUGUUGCUGAAGUCACGUGGCUUCAAGCAGUAGAGCUGACUGUCCUCUAGUCCAGUUGUCCCUACAGGAUAAAAGCUUCUCUCCAUUACAGAGACCUUGGGAGUCCAGAGGAAGGUCUUUUUACCAUCAGCAUUCUCUACUGUGUUCAAUGACUGUCAGCCAAAGAUGGCCAGCUUUCCUUCAGAAAGAAAUGCAUUCAAAGAACCUACAUUCACAACAUAAAGAAAUAAAGCCUGCACCUACAGAUCUACACACAUGCCCAUGCACAUGCAGGAAGUGUUCAUCUAAGACUGGACCUUUUAGAAGAAAGCUGGCAUACAUUCGUGAAGGCAUGGGCUUCCAGGCAUGUCAUCUUCACUCACGAAGCACACACAAGACCGCCAAGCAUUAAGAUUCUCCUGUGGAGCCAGGCUACAAUCCUUUAAAUGAAGACAGACAGCUAGGUGGCUGCAGCCCAGCGCUACACCUCACCCCUCCCUCAGUGUCAUGCAGAAAAAAUGUAUUCAGAACUCAGAAGUGAAGUUGUGCAAAUCCAUCAUUGACACUAGCUUCAAGGUUACCUCGGGGGAGCAGAAUGUACCCCUGCCAGAGAGCUGGAUAGAUGAUGAUGGGGACAGAAAUUCUGGGGGAGUUGUAAAUGGCAGCCACUGCCUCUAUAGGAAACCCAAAGGGAACACAGCAGAAGAGGAGGUGGUGGAGGAGCCACUGCCCUCUCGAAGGGUUCAAUGUCAUUCUGCAGACACAACCAAAUAACUUUUUCUUCCCUGCUGCUCCUCCAUUUGAAAUGACAGCCCCGAGCUCGCUUUUUCCUUGAUUGUGUAACUCUGAUUACAGACAAGGCCAAGGCAAUCCCAGGGCAUUACUACAAAGCUAAGGGGUCCCCAAAGAACUAAAGAGUCAGCUCCACAAAAAUCCCGAUUCCUAGCAUGAAACUGAAAUAUGAAACCAAACGGGCAUAGAAAAGGUAUGUGCAUUCGAAUCACAUAGCAGUGACUGGAGUCCUGAGCUGUGUCUGAAGACUGUGAGAUCACGUUUGGAGCUGCUGAUUGGUUUUCAGUGAUGGCCCUGUUGCACAGUGCCGUGAGACUUAGCUCCAUGGCCAAAGACGAUGGUAUCCCCUAGGAGCCCUGUGAGGUUGCUGCUGUUCUCUUAAGACACCAGGUAGCCAUCUGAUCCUCCCUGAGCAAACUAACUGGGCAGACAGGUUUAUUAAACCUCUGUUGGUCCGACUUACAUGAAACAAGAGAGUUAUUUUGUUGUUGUUGUUUUGUUUUGUUUUAAAUUAAACCUGUCUUUGGAGCCUCCUGCUCUUAGUUUACAAGUCUUCUUUGCACACUCUAAUAUUUUAAGAAGCAGCAAACAUUAACUGAGGGUCUA